rnacentral:lncRNA from 1 species
UAAAGUUGUAUACUAUAAAUAUAAAUGAUUUUUAAAUUUAUCAGUAUAAAAAUAUAACAAAGAUACAUUCAGAAGAGGAAAAAUCACUAUGAAGGAAAUGGAAGGACAAGGAGAUAAGAAGCCAAGGAAGAGAACACUCUCUUUAUUGUAGAUAAUUUUCUUUUCUUUUUGUAAAAAGAAUCAAGUUUAUUCAUGCUAAAAUUAUUUAACUUGGCUACCUGUCAAGGGCAGCACAAAAUGGAGGUAUAAUUCCUAAAGUUCUCCAGCACAAGAAACUUUGUACCUGGCCAAGCAUAGUUUGCUGGGGAAUACCAUGCCUCACAGGUAUGUCCCCACUGCCACAUUUGCCCCUGCCUUCAAGUUGCUCUGCCAGUGUCCUUCACCUCAUUAUCCCCUAUAGCAUUCCAGGAGAUAGUUCACUAUUAGAACACAGAGAACAGUAUUAGGUAGGUCGCUUGAGGGAAAGAGGGCAGUAAAUACAUCAUGGAUCCCUUUCAGAUCAAUAGUAUUCAGUUUAAGGUAAGUAUAUCAGUAUAAAAAUUAAACUGAAAGAAUAUGGAGGAGGUUAUGUGUGUGUCCCUCAAAAAUGCUUGAUUCUUGUUCAUUUGAUAUAAAUCUCAGUUUUAUAGGAGCUUAUCUUUUCCUACUUCCAGUUAGAACAUAGAUUGAUAAGAUUGAUUUGUUCCUUGGUUCAAAACCAAAUACCAGAUAAAAGUUUUUUUCUAUGUGUUCCACUUUCCAAGGUACAUUAUCACUUUCUCUUUUUACUCUCAAUUCCUACUGUCAGAGCACGAUAUGCAGCACACUAUGCCAUAUCCUUAGAAAGGUCUUUUUCGUAUUUUUUCCCAGUAACAAAUAUUUUUAAUGUUCUUCUUAGACAAACAUUUACUUCCAAUAAAUGGAAGCAGGUAAACACAGGAUAAUUGUGUGUUUGAAAAAGAGAGACGGGCUAUGUAAAGGCACAGAUCCCAAUGCUGGAUCCUGAGCAGCCACUGCAUGGCCAACCCAAGCAGUUAACUUCCCUCUUCACCUUCAGCACUUUUGGACAGUUCAUAACUAAAAAAAGUUUGUGAGAAAGAAAGCACAAUAAUUAAAUUAAUAUCUAAUUUUAAAAUAUUUGAGUGUGUCAGAAUAUCAUUUCUCUAAGAAA